rnacentral:rRNA from 1 species
AUUACAAAAUUUGAAAAACAUAUCCUAGACGGUGGAUCACUCGGCUCGUGGAUCGAUGAAGAACGCA